rnacentral:rRNA from 1 species
UACGGAGGAUCCAAGCGUUGUCCGGAUUUAUUGGGUUUAAAGGGUGCGUAGGUGGUUAAUUAAGUCAGGGGUGAAAGCCUGCAGCUCAACUGUAGAACUGCCCUUGAAACUGAUUAUCUUGAAUAUGGUUGAGGUAGGCGGAAUGUGUCAUGUAGCGGUGAAAUGCUUAGAUAUGAUACAGAACACCAAUUGCGAAGGCAGCUUACUAAGCCAUUAUUGACACUGAGGCACGAAAGCAUGGGGAGCAAACAGG